rnacentral:lncRNA from 1 species
CAAAACGCUGCUCUGUACUGCGAACCAAAAUGAAAAUGCGCACAAAUUAUAGAGCCAAAUUUAAGAAACAAAGUAAAACAAAUAGGGCACAAUUGAAGGCUCGCGCGAAGGAAAGGAUCUAACGCGCAAAUAUCCAUUCUCCGCAGAAACACGCAGGUCCUAGGGGUAAAGGGUCAGAUCGGGUCGAGUAUAACUAAUACGACACCGUUUUGGGAGCCACUGAAACAGGCUCAAAACGGCACCGUUUUUGGUCCUUUAAAAUGCCUAAAACCAGCCUCCUUCAACCGAAUCAACCUCAGCCCCCUUUCUUCUCAACUAGCAAGCCCUAAAUCUUUUCUUUCAUACACUGAUCCACCACCAUGAAUGGCAACCGGUGGUUUCCGGGCUUCAAAGAGUUGAUUUUUAGCCAUGAGAUCCCCUUUUAGACUUCAAUUUCAACGAAGCAAAAAAGAAUCGCUAGCCCAUUCGUAAGGUAAAUUUCCUUUUCCAUUUUUUUCUUUUAUUUUCUAAAUGUAAUGGUGGAAGAUUUGAGGAAGUAAAUCACCAGGAAAAGAGAACAAAGAAAAAAAAAUCAAAGAAAGACUCAAACAAAUCAAAAACAGAAAUCACCUUUCUAUGGCUUUUGGAAAUGCUCUCUUUUUGUAUUUCAGUGCGUGUAGUAUGCGUAAGUCUUUUGCAGGUACAUUCAAUGGCUUUUUAUAGCCAAUUUACAGAGUAAAUAAAAAUAAAAUUACAUUUUAUUGCUGUCAUUUGCUGUAAAUUCUGUUAUUCCCCUUCUCCCAUGUUCUUUUGCAAGAGCAUCCGUACAGGAGCACGAAGAAGGGCGCGUGUGAAAGAGGCCGUGCUUGGGACCGUUCCUGGGGAGCCCAAUCCUAGCUGGCUACUGGUGACUUCCAGAAGCUUCCGGCCUGGGCUCUAUGAGCCUACUUCGAGAAUAAGCGGCCAUGAGUGCAGACUACUGCUGCGGCACCGAUCAGCAACUAGGGUUAGGGUUAGGGUUAGUCUUAGAUUGGGCCUUUGGGGUUAUUGGGUUAAGGACUUUGGGCAUAAUUAUUGGGCUGCAAUAGAUUUGGUUUAGUUUAAUAAUUGGGCUUAUAUAUAUAUUAGGAUUGUAAAUGGACAUUAAUUUAUUUUGGGGCUGUUUAAUGUUUUUGUUGCUUUUUUUUAUUUUGGGGUUUUUAUAUUUAUUUUGGUUUAUAAUGGGUCGGGCGAAUUGGGCCUAUUACAAUUAGUAUACCUAUUUAUUUUAAGAUAUUAUAUAAAUUACACUUUAUAAAUGAAUAAACAAAUAAAACUCUGAAUAUUAAAUAUUUAAUAAUAUACUGUACAUGUUACAAUGCAUUUUUUAAAAAAAUAAAGAAAAAGAAAUGUGACCAUUAUAGUAUGAUAUAUACUCUAUAGUACAAACAAAUGUACUCAUACUUUAUAGUUUACUAUUUCUAAUGUUUGAGCCGUUUUUAUGGACUGUAGGCGGCCAACACGAUUUGGUCGGAAACAAGUGAAUAUAUUAUGGAUAAAGUAUUGUAGAGGUAACUAAAUUGCAGUUUUUUUUAGUAGGUGGA